UACGUAGGGGCCAAGCGUUGUCCGGAAUUAUUGGGCGUAAAGAGCUCGUAGGCGGUUUGUCGCGUCUGCUGUGAAAAUUCGAGGCUCAACCUCGAACUUGCGGUGGGUACGGGCAGACUAGAGUGUGGUAGGGGAGACUGGAAUUCCUGGUGUAGCGGUGAAAUGCGCAGAUAUCAGGAGGAACACCGAUGGCGAAGGCAGGUCUCUGGGCCACUACUGACGCUGAGAAGCGAAAGCAUGGGGAGCGAACAGG
rnacentral:rRNA from 1 species